AGCUCCAAUAGCGUAUAUUAAAGUUGUUGCGGUUAAAACGUUCGUAGUUGAACUUGUGUUCCGCACGGGCAGUACCAAACAACUGGUAAAACAGUAGUGGUACCUUGUCUUACUUCCUGUCCUCUGGAUUAGGAAAUGUGCGUGGACGUAUUAUCGGCGUGUUCGCUCUAGUAGCGUUCACAUCAGCCCAUCGCAGUGCUCUUAAACAAGUGUUGCUGUGGGCCGAUACAAAUUACUUUGAACAAAUUAGAGUGCUUAAAGCAGGCUUGUAAUGCCUGAAUAUUUUGUGCAUGGAAUAAUGAAAUAGGACAUCUGUUCUACUUUCAUUGGUUUUUUAGACCAAGAUGUAAUGAUUAAUGGAAGCAGUUGGGGGCAUUAGUAUUACAACGCGAGAGGUGAAAUUCUUAGACCGUUGUAAGACUAACUAAAGCGAAAGCAUUUGCCAAAGAUGUUUUCAU
rnacentral:rRNA from 1 species